GAUGAACGCUAGCGGCAGGCCUAAUACAUGCAAGUCGAACGCUCAGUAGCAAUACUGGGAGUGGCGCACGGGUGCGUAACGCGUACACAAUCUACCUCUAAGCGGGGACACCUCCUGGAAACGGGGAUUAAUACCGCAUAAUAUGCCGAAGUCGCAUGACUUUGGUAUUAAAGCAGCAAUGCACUUAGAGAUGAGUGUGCGUCCCAUUAGGUAGUUGGUGAGGUAACGGCUCACCAAGCCUAUGAUGGGUAGCCGGUCUGAGAGGAUGGUCGGCCACACGGGCACUGAGACACGGGCCCGACUCCUACGGGAGGCAGCAGUAAGGAAUAUUGGUCAAUGGUGGAAACACUGAACCAGCCAUGCCGCGUGGAGGAAUAAGGUCCUACGGAUUGU
rnacentral:rRNA from 1 species